rnacentral:tRNA from 2 species
GCGCUCUUGGCGUAGUGGUAGCGCGUGUCUCUCCUACUGCAUAUGCAUUUUCUUCUGGAUUAUCGCGUAGGAUUCAUCAAGACGAGGUCGUGGGUUCGACCCCCACAGGGCGCU